CACCUACGGGUGGCAGCAGUGGGGAAUAUUGGACAAUGGGGGGAACCCUGAUCCAGCCAUGCCGCGUGUGUGAAGAAGGCCUUUUGGUUGUAAAGCACUUUAAGCGAGGAGGAGGCUCUUCUAGUUAAUACCUAGGAUGAGUGGACGUUACUCGCAGAAUAAGCACCGGCUAACUCUGUGCCAGCAGCCGCGGUAAUACAGAGGGUGCGAGCGUUAAUCGGAUUUACUGGGCGUAAAGCGUACGUAGGCGGCUCUUUAAGUCGGAUGUGAAAUCCCUGAGCUUAACUUAGGAAUUGCAUUCGAUACUGGGAAGCUAGAGUAUGGGAGAGGAUGGUAGAAUUCCAGGUGUAGCGGUGAAAUGCGUAGAGAUCUGGAGGAAUACCGAUGGCGAAGGCAGCCAUCUGGCCUAAUACUGACGCCGAGGUACGAAAGCAUGGGGAGCAAACAGGAUUAGAUACCCUGGUAGUCCAUGCCGUAAACGAUGUCUACUAGCCGUUGGGGCCUUUGAGGCUUUAGUGGCGCAGCUAACGCGAUAAGUAGACC
rnacentral:rRNA from 1 species